GAUGAACGCUGGCGGUGUGCCUAAUACAUGCAAGUCGAGCGAACAGACGAGGAGCUUACUCCUCUGACGUUAGCGGCGGACGGGUGAGUAACACGUGGAUAACCUACCUAUAAGACUGGGAUAACUUCGGGAAACCGGAGCUAAUACCGGAUAACAUGUUGAACCGCAUGGUUCAACAGUGAAAGACGGUCUUGCUGUCACUUAUAGAUGGAUCCGCGUCGCAUUAGCUAGUUGGUAAGGUAACGGCUUACCAAGGCAACGAUGCGUAGCCGACCUGAGAGGGUGAUCGGCCACACUGGAACUGAGACACGGUCCAGACUCCUACGGGAGGCAGCAGUAGGGAAUCUUCCGCAGUAGGCGAAAGCCUGACGGAGCAACGCCGCGUGAGUGAAGAAGGUCUUCGGAUCGUAAAACUCUGUUAUUAGGGAAGAACAAAUGUGUAAGUAACUAUGCACGUCUUGACGGUACCUAAUCAGAAAGCCACGGCUAACUACGUG
rnacentral:rRNA from 1 species